rnacentral:rRNA from 1 species
GAUGAACGCUGGCGGCGUGCCUAAUACAUGCAAGUCGAGCGAACAGACGAGGAGCUUGCUCCUCUGACGUUAGCGGCGGACGGGUGAGUAACACGUGGAUAACCUACCUAUAAGACUGGGAUAACUUCGGGAAACCGGAGCUAAUACCGGAUAAUAUAUUGAACCGCAUGGUUCAAUAGUGAAAGACGGUUUUGCUGUCACUUAUAGAUGGAUCCGCGCCGCAUUAGCUAGUUGGUAAGGUAACGGCUUACCAAGGCAACGAUGCGUAGCCGACCUGAGAGAGUGAUCGGCCACUCUGGAGCUAGCACCCGGUCCAGACCCCUACGGGAGGCAGCCGUAGGCAAUCUUGCGCACUGCGCGAAGGCCUGACGGAGCAACGCCGCGGGAGUGAUGAAGGUCUUCGGAUCGUCAAACUCUGUUAUUAGGGAAGAACAAAUGUGUAAGUAACUAUGCACGUCUCGACGGUACCUAAUCAGAACGCAACGGCCAACUACAU